GAUGAAUAACGUAGCGAAAUGCGAUAAGUAAUGUGAAUUGCAGAAUUCAGUGAAUCAUCGAAUCUUUGAACGCACAUUGCGCCCGCUAGUAUUCUGGCGGGCAUGCCUGUCCGAGCGUCAUUUCAACCCUCAAGCCCCCGGGCUUGGUGUUGGGGAUCGGCGAGCCUCCGCGCCCGCCGUCCCCUAAAUCUAGUGGCGGUCUCGCUGUAGCUUCCUCUGCGUAGUAGCACACCUCGCACUGGGAAACAGCGCGGCCACGCCGUUAAACCCCCAACUUCUGAACGUUUGACCUCGGAUCAGGUAGGAAUACCCGCUGAACUUAAGCAUAUCAAUAAGCGGAGGA
rnacentral:misc_RNA from 1 species